GCAUGUGCGCGAGUCAUUGGGACUCUGUUAAACCUAAAGGCGCAAUGAAAGUAAAGGUCCGCCUCGCGCGGACCGAGGGAGGAUGGGCCCGUCCCCGGACGGGCCCCGCACUCCCGGGGCGUCUCGUCCUCAUCGCGAGGAGAGGCGCACCCAGAGCGUACACGCUGGGACCCGAAAGAUGGUGAACUAUGCCUGGUCAGGACGAAGUCAGGGGAAACCCUGAUGGAGGUCCGUAGCGAUUCUGACGUGCAAAUCGAUCGUCGGAACUGGGUAUAGGGGCGAAAGACUAAUCGAA
rnacentral:rRNA from 2 species